CAAACGUCAAAUUUGCAAGCGAUGAAAAGAAAUUUGACUGGUCAAAAAAAUGUAAAGGAACCUGCACAAGCUUCAGGUAGAAAAACGUGACCAAGGAGGAAGAAAACGGGAAUGUUUUCCUUCGGAGAAUCGACGCCGAAAGGACAAAAAAAAAGUGUCAGGUGAGAGGAUUACGCGUGAUAAUACAAAAUGCGUAAGAAAUCUGUCGGCUCUCCAUAAAAAUAGCGACAGGUAGAAGAAGUUGGAGAUGAAGUGAAAGAAUGAGAAUACAUUAUUUCCUUCACUUCCAAUCCGAUAUUUUCCCCCUUCGUCGAUUCGCAAUUGUUUCGUCCUUGCUUUUAUUUACAUUCGUUUCUGGCCGAGACAUUUAAUGAGACUUUUAAAAAAUUAAACGGCGAGCGCGCGCGCGACGGUCGCUUUCAAUUGUUUCUUACCGCCCGCAACACGCGCAUAUUUGUAUAAAUGAUUUGGGUGAAAAGAAUGUCUUUUGGCCGUUGCUGUACAGAAAACAACACGCUGAGGAAAGAGCUGAGGCAACAGAAGAGAACGAGCGACGACGACGUUCCUCGGUUCUCAGUUGUUCAACCUUGCUUCAAACAGAAUCAAACAACUCGACGCACUCGAACACACACACACUCCCAUAACCGUCGGUUGAGGCAAGAGAGGAGUGAUGAAGAAAGAAGAAGGAGAGGAACGGCGAACGGGUCUCGUUCGUUCGAGGUAGAAGAGAACGAGAGAGGAGAAGAAGAAAACGGCAAGAAAACAGGUAGUUUCGCUUCUUGCUUGUUGUUCAUCUCCUCUCUGUCUGCAUCGUCGUUGUUUUUUAUUUUUCACUUCUUCUACUUCUACUUCUCGUUUCACUUGUUCAUCUCGCGUUCGAGAGGAACAAGUAGCAAAACUAUUGCGAACGCGAUGAUUAUUUUUAAAUUGCU